CAGUCGCCACGGUAAUACGAAGGGUGCAAGCGUUACUCGGAAUUACUGGGCGUAAAGCGUGCGUAGGUGGUGGUUUAAGUCCGUUGUGAAAGCCCUGGGCUCAACCUGGGAAUUGCAGUGGAUACUGGGUCACUAGAGUGUGGUAGAGGAUAGUGGAAUUUCCGGUGUAGCAGUGAAAUGCGUAGAGAUCGGAAGGAACAUCUGUGGCGAAGGCGACUAUCUGGGCCAACAUUGACACUGAGGCACGAAAGCGUGGGGAGCAAACAGGAUUAGAUACCCCCGUAGUCCCUGUCUCUUAUAC
rnacentral:rRNA from 1 species